rnacentral:rRNA from 1 species
UUAGUUUUUGAAGUAUGGCCUGCCCGCUGACUUUUAGUUGAAGGGCCGCGGUAUUUUGACCGUGCAAAGGUAGCAUAAUCAUUAGUUCUUUAAUUGUGAUCUGGAAUGAAUGGCUUGACGAGAUGCGAGCUGUCUUAAAUUUGAAUGUUUUAUUGAAUUUGGUUUUUGAGUUAAAAUUCUUAGAUGUUUUUAUGGGACGAGAAGACCCUAUAGAGUUUGACAUGUAUGGCUUUCUUGUUUAUUUGUCGUUUGUUUUGUUUUUGAUAAGUGGGCUUUGUGUUUUGUUGGGGUGAUGAGAGGAAUAUAAUUUAACUCCUCUUGGUUUAUUGGUUAUAUUGAUAUAUAUUUAUUUGAUCCAUUUAUUUUGAUUAUAAGAUUAAAUUACC